rnacentral:rRNA from 1 species
GACGAACGCUGGCGGCGUGCUUAACACAUGCAAGUCGAGCGGUAAGGCCCUUUCGGGGGUACACGAGCGGCGAACGGGUGAGUAACACGUGGGUGACCUGCCCUCAGCUCUGGGAUAAGCCUGGGAAACCGGGUCUAAUACCGGAUAUGACUCCAUGACGCAUGUUGUGGGGUGGAAAGCCUUGUGCGGCUGAGGAUGGGCCCGCGGCCUAUCAGCUUGUGGUGGGGUGAUGGCCUACCAAGGCGACGACGGGUAGCCGGCCUGAGAGGCGACCGGCCACACUGGGACUGAGACACGGCCCAGACUCCUACGGGAGGCAGCAGUGGGGAAUCUUGCGCAAUGGGCGAAAGCCUGAACGCAGCGACGCCGCGUGA